rnacentral:lncRNA from 1 species
AAGCAAUCAGCCAUUCUGUUGAAGGAGCAGAUUGUAAAAAGCAUGUGGUUGGAGUGGUACAAAGCAGGCCAACCCAACAUUUCUUUUGUGUUGCUAUUGUUUUAGAAAAGUUUUUGGAGUAACAGAACAGAUCAGGGAGACAGAAAUACAUCUGCUGACAGGCAUGCUCAACCUUCAGCUCCUGCUCUUCUGUGUCCUCCCAGUUCCUCCCAGAAAUGAAAGAAGGCUUGAGCAGAAGACCUGCAAGACAGUCAGCAGAAGAACAGAGAGAGUGCAGAUGUCUCAGGACUAAGACCAAGACAGGGACUCAAAACCAGGUAAGAAUUGCAGCAGAAACAGUGAAGACUUUGACUGCUUUUGGCAACAAGCUUUCCAGCUUGGAAGAUGGAGGAAUAUGAGAGAGG